UACGUAGGGGGCUAGCGUUGUCCGGAAUCAUUGGGCGUAAAGAGCGUGUAGGCGGCCCGGUAAGUCCGCUGUGAAAGUCGGGGGCUCAACCCUCGGAUGCCGGUGGAUACUGUCGGGCUCGAGUACGGAAGAGGCGAGUGGAAUUCCUGGUGUAGCGGUGAAGUGCGCAGAUAUCAGGAGGAACACCUAUUGCGAAGGCAGCUCGCUGGGACGUUACUGACGCUGAGACGCGAAAGCGUGGGGAGCAAACAGG
rnacentral:rRNA from 1 species